rnacentral:sRNA from 1 species
AAGGGUGACGGGGUAGCAGUGGGAGGUGUGGCAAGUGGCUGGGGCGCCCAGAAUCCAGCCUCUCUGGGCUGUGGGUAGGCACGCCCAGGCUGAGUGAUGCUCCUCCACUCCCUGGCAGUGUGUUUCAGCUCACCCAUGAUGUGUACAAACCCUUCAUCUUCGCUGCUGAUACCCUGACAGAUUUGAGCAUGUGGGUGCGUCAUCUCAUUACCUGCAUUUCCAAGUACCAGUCUCCAGGCCGGGCCCCCCUGCCCCAAGAGGAAGGUAGGUGUCUCGCAGGGUUGAGUGGGAGGAACUCUCACCUGAGCCUCUGCCUUUCCUGGGAUGGGGGCUGGGAACUCAAAUGCCCUAGGCCACUCCCUGGCCCCCAAAAACCCACUGCUGCUCCUCACCCCAGACUGCUACAGUGAGACUGAAGCAGAAGACCCGGACGAUGAGGCUGGGUCCUGCUUAGCCUCGCCCAGCCCUGCUCAAGCUGGGAGUCCCCUCCAUGGAGACACAUCACCUGCAGCCACCCCCACACAGCGCAGCCCACGGACCUCCUUUGGCUCUCUGACAGGUGCUGGGCUGGAGUUGGGAGCUGGGCUGGGGGCUGGGGGGGCACAUCCUCAUCCUGCUCCUCCCUCCCGCAGACAGCAGUGAAGAGGCACUGGAAGGAAUGGUACGGGGGCUGAGGCAGGGUGGCGUGUCCCUCCUAGGCCAGCCACAGCCCCU